UCAUUUUGAUAUAAAAAACGCAUAAUCCAAUCAGUUGUAUUAAUAAAGAAUAUCCUAUUCAAGUUGAUACCUGGAUGGACUCGAUUCCACUGUCGUUAACGUUUUCCUGAACGUCCGGAAAUACAAAAGCUUGUUCCUGACUAUCGACCUCGCGUCUCGGCGAAUCGCUUGGCCAUACUUGCAAAAGCGGAAGUCCACCGCGUGUCUCGGUGCAUACUUCCGCCGUCACAACGUUACUCUGGUCUUCUGUACCAAGGCACAAUCGGCCGUAUUCUCUCAGUGGCUUCUGCUAAACGGCAAAAGAUUCAUAGAGAAGAGUGAUUAAAAUCUUCUUUUUUGUUAUUUUUUUUCUUUUUUUUUCCCUUUUUUUUUCUUUUCCUUCUUUUACGGACUCGAUCAAAGAUGACCUAUCGAACGAACAAAUGAUAUAUUAUCCAUGCCAAUAGGCAGAAUCUUGUGAAUAUUUUAUUAAAGAAAAAAGAAAAAAUGAAUUUUGUAAAAACUCUAUAUAAUCUCUAUAGUUAUAUCUCGAAUCUUGUUGUUCACCUUUCCACGCACGAGCGUCAUGAUUAGACGUCACGCUUGCAUUAUUAAUUUAAUACGAGAAGAUAAUAAUACAUGCCCAUAAUAAUAAUAAUAUUAAUAAUAACGCACAGUAUUCGAUAUAAGGAAAAAGUAAUUGCGAUUUCACGGUGAGACGUGAUGACAAGCUACGACGAGCCAACACUGAAAUUUUGAACGGUUCACUGCUUCUAAUGUAACAAGCGCAGAAAGGUCAAUUCUGAUCUUAUACAAAAAAAAAAAAAGAAAAUAAAAGAGGAGGCAAGACGGAUGAAGUAAGCGAUAUACAUGAAAUCGAUAUCGCGUAGGUAUUUAAGUUAAAAAUAUUCACGUAGCGAUUUCGAAUGAAAUAAUCGUAAGAAAUCGAAAUCGAAUUUCCUUGUUAUUCCCUUGUUAUUAUGGCAUUUAACGAAGAUUACAUAUUGCUUAGCAAUAUGUAAAUAGGAAAAUGUAAAUUUUGACAAUUUUUCACCACGAGAAAAUUUAUACGAUCGGCAUUAGCGUAACAGUAGGUCGUACAGUCAGGGUGUUCGUGACCGUGACAGAAGAAUCUCACCUUCUUGCUUGGCCUUGGCACAGGCCGGUCGAUGAAGGGAAGAAAAAGACGCGAAUCGGUUCUCUGGCACGGUGCCUUUCCCAUGUAAACACAAAUACCAUUAACAAGCUUCGCCCUUUAUCUUCGUUACUUAAAAAAAAAAAAAAAAAAAAAAAAAAAAAAAAAAAAAAAAAGAAAAAGGAAAAGGAAAAGAAAAAAAAAAGAAAGAGAGAAAAGAUAAGAGAAAAAAACUUGCAUAAAAAAGUUCUAUUUAUCGCGUAAUAAAAACGAUUAGGUUACAGAAACUUAUCGUACACGUGUUUACCACUUUCUAUAUAUUCAUCUUCUAUGUCUUCGCAUAUUAUAAAAAGAAAAAAGUUUAUUAUUUCCUAGCCAUUGUCCAAUGGAAUAUGCACAUUAAUAUCUAUAAAUAGAUAUAUACUCAUAUAAAUGUUUUAUGAAAAUCUCAUAAAAGUCAGUCCAUUCAUAUUUAAUUACCGUGAAAAAUUAUUCAUUUCAAUGCAUCCAUUAUCUGUCCUUGGCCCGGAAAAUCUAAAACACUGUGAGGCUCGGAUACGCACAGUGCAUUACUGUGUUAACAUAAUAAGCAAUCUUCACGUCCGGUGUGUGAUACCAUUGUUUACAGAUCAAGAAGAUCAAUUAUCGGCAGUGUCAAUCAUCGCUAAGAGAUCAGCAAGAACAUUAGCAAUGAACAAUGAAUAUCAUAGAAAAUUAUAUCUUAAAGUUUCGUUCAACUAAAGAUCAUCAUCAACAUCAUAUUUAAAUAAUAGAAUGAUUAAAGACCUAGUAAAUAAUAUAUAAACUUUUGCAUUAGUCCGAUUGGUGGAUAAGGAUUAACUUUGACUCGAGAGAAGAAAGGUAAACAAAAGAGCGAGUCCUAUCCUAUUCUUCGAUGAAAAAGAGAAGGAUAAGUUGGAAGCAAGAGGAUGACCCACCUGCAUGCUUCCGCCGGUCGCAUGGUAGUAGACGACAUUGGCACAGUCCAGCGAGGAUGCCUCUUGGACGGAAUCCAAAUGUCAAUUCUCAAAUGCAAAAACUAAUUGUUCUAUCCUGAUAACCUAGACCAGAUAUCGGCCUUGCUCGCGGCUCGGAGAGCGACUGCAACAAAAUCCGGUCGGUGCCGAUGACGGUGUCGAGUUGGUGGUAGUGAUGGUGGUGGUAGGAGAGGGUGAGGAUGAAAAAGAGGAGGAGGAGAACGCGUAGACGACGUGUGCGCGUUCGAGGCACCGACGCGACGUGUUCGAGGUCGGACCUGUUUUCACCCGUUUUAGCUAAAACUCGCGAGCGAAGAAUCAAAAGCGGAAAGGAAAGAAGAUGAGCGCGAUACUGAAGGACGAAAGAAAAUCAGUCGAGAGAAGACGGCGUCUAAUCUAGUUAUAAGUAAACGACGAAAAGAGUAAUGAAGUUGGUUAUUCAAAAGCUCGAGAAAGAUAAGGAAGAAGAAAACGAAUAAGAAGAAGAAGAAGAGAAAGAGGGGAGGAGCCGAGAGGGCGUGACGCCGGCGCGAGAGGAACCCCCUAGGUCAAGGUCGCAUAGUAGAAGCAGGAGUGAAAGGGUGCAGCAGCCUAGCGAUACAGCCCUGAGCCCCAUUUGGCCAUCGGAGGCUCGUGCAGGACGAUCUUCGUUUCACCUCUCCUAUUCUCUGCCUCUCCCUCUCUCACUCUUUCUCUCCCUCUCUCUCUCUCUCUCUCUCUCUCUCUCUCUCUCUCACUCUCACUCUCUUGUUCUAUACACACCUCAACCCCUUUUUCUGAUCGAUAUACCUACCCCAGACACAUUUUCUCUCUUCCUAUCCUCGACAACCGAUGGCUCGUUGAAUUGUUCAAUUAAUAAAAUAGUUAAUUAAAUGUUACUCAACUGAUAAUUAGGUCCUUACUAUUAACUCAUAUCUAUAAUUAUUUUAACGUUUAGUUUGUUAAAUAUGCUUACUUAUCCUCUUACAUAUAAUAUAUUUCAUUCUUUUUUUUUCUACUUUUUUUCUACUUCUCUGUGAAUAAAAAUUUUUGUUUUUGAAUUUUUCUUCUCUUUUUUGAGCUCUAUAUAAUUUUCCUUUUUUUUCUGGCAAAGCAGACUAUAUAUAUAUACGCAUCCCGUUCUUUUAUACUCCCUGCGCCUUACUGCAGAUUUCACUUUUGACAUACCUCCUCCGUGAAAGUAGUAAUAAACGUGUAUAGUCCGACGAGCCGCCAGCUAGACAUAGUAACUAGAAUAUAUCCUUGCUCGGCCUCGGCCUUGCAAUAACCAGCAAACUAUUCUACUUUACCCCUUUGCACCUUUGUAUUUUCGUUACACACUCCUUCAAGCUUCAUUACGUCUUUGCAUCUUCCUACGGUCUCUUUCCAAGCUGCCUAAUGACCAAUGGGAUAAUGGACAUGACAAAUGGAUUUCCUAAUAACUUUGUAAUUGUCCGAUCGUACCAACUCCUUAAUUGCCCUCCAUUCUAUUAUUCGUACUUUUUAGGAGAUUUUCGUUUUAUCAAGCUUGUUUAAGAAUCCAGAUUAAAAAAAAAAAGAAAAAAAAAAGAGAGAGACGGAAGGAGAAAAAGAAAAAGAGAAAAGAACUGAAUGAAAAUCUAUUCGUGAACAUUUUAACACGAUAACACGAAAAGUUUAAUAAUUACGAAAUAUCAAAAACAGAGAGAUAUAAUCAGUUGCUUUUGUCAUACUACGAAUCAUUCAUGCCUAUGAUUAAUUUUAUUUUACACUGUCCUUGUGAACAUUAAUACUUAAACGUACUAAUAAUAAAAAUGUAGAAUAAUAUGAGGAGUCUGUGGUUAGAACGGCGAAAGCGAUGUUACGUGAUAGGAAUGUCGUAAACCCUCUGGAGGCCUACUAAAUUGAAUUCCAAAGAAGGAUGCGUAAAUCCUUGAAGAAAAAUGUACAGACGAACUUUAGUUAUCCUUGGAUACAAUUUUGGAAAAUCAUGUAUACAUAUUGAAUAUCAUAUUACGUAAAGUGACAUUAAGAAGGGGAGAAAGGAAAAUUGUAGACAUAUUCGCAACGUACGAUUCGAGGAUAUAGAACGAUCGUUAAUGGAACGUAGAUGUUCGAUAAACGCUCGAGACAAUAGUCGCUAUCAUCAACGACUUUGCUUUAUCGUGAUUCUAUCGAAACUCGAGAAAUUUCUUCAGGUUCCAUCGUAUCAUAGCGUCGCUUCGCACUUCACGUCGCUUCGUAUUUUGCGUCGCUAUUGGUUUUACACUUUCAUCUGAUAGUUAUCAUUUACGUUUGAGAAAUAAACAUAUGCAUAUACAUUGU